UAGGGAAUCUUCCACAAUGGGCGAAAGCCUGAUGGAGCAACGCCGCGUGUGUGAUGAAGGGUUUCGGCUCGUAAACACUGUUGUAAGAGAAGAAUGACAUUGAAAGUAACUGUUCAAUGUGUGACGGUAUCUUACCAGAAAGGAACGGCUAAAUACGUGCCAG
rnacentral:rRNA from 1 species